UCAAAACAGUGUGCGAGUGACGGUGCCGCUUGCAGCGGCUACAACACAUGCCGCGGCACAUUUAUUAGAGUGGGACCCACGACAACUAGUAUCAAAAUUAUCAUUACGACGUCGUAUUGACGUUGGAGUAUCGCAACAACGCCAACGCAUGUCCCGUGAAAAUGGAAUGUAGAGAGUAGAGUAUAGGAAAAGGAAAGUGAUCUUCAACAUCUUGUUGAUGCAUUGCAUGUACUGCAACAUACUUGUGUGCAUUCUAUUGGUUAUAUCAUCAUAGAUAAUAUCUAUAUUUUUUCAUUUUAUUUAUUAUUAUAAGAAGAAGAUGAAUAACAAUUAACAUAUACAUAUAGUAUUAGUAGGUGGUGGCUGAAAUUACUUAUUAGAACUUAGAAAUGGCGGCAAGAACUGUGAAGAGACGCCACGUGGCGAGUAGGUUGAGCUGCAAGAUGCUGAUCCUCUUCUCCGUUUCUCUCUUUUGCGUCGUCGUUUUAGUUGCCGCAGCUAUCUUCACGCUGCACUCUAAUAAUUCUAAUUCUUUCAAACCCUUAAUUCGAAUUUCUCGCGUCUUUCAUGGCCCUCCCAAAAUCGCUUUCUUAUUCCUCGUUCGCCGCAAUAUCCCCCUCGAUUUUCUCUGGGGUGCUUUCUUUCAGAACGGUGAUGUUUCCAAUUUCUCGAUUUAUGUUCAUUCAUCGCCUGGAUUUGUGUUGGACGACUCCACCAGCAGGUCCCACUUCUUCUACGGUAGACAACUCACCAAUAGCAUUCAGGUUUCAUGGGGAGAAUCAAGUAUGAUUCAGGCUGAAAGGCUGUUACUGUCAGCAGCUUUGGAAGACCCUGCAAAUCAAAGAUUCGUUCUUCUCUCAGAUAGCUGUGUUCCUAUGUAUAACUUUUCCUAUGUGUACAAUUAUAUCAUGCUUUCUCCAAGGAGUUUUGUGGACAGCUUUCUUGAUGCAAAAGAGGGUCGCUACAACCCAAAUAUGUCACCUAAAAUACCAAGGGAAAAAUGGCGUAAAGGGUCCCAGUGGUUCACCUUGGUUCGUCGCCAUGCAGAAGUGAUUGUUGAUGAUGAUGUUAUCUUCUCUACCUUUAAGAGAUACUGUAAGAGGCGCCCACCAAUUGAUACCAGAAAGGGAAAGCUGAAUCUUUGCAGCAACUUCAGAAGCAGCACAACUGUAUUCCAGAUGAGCACUACGUGCAGACAUUACUUGCACUGCAUGGUCUUGAAGGUGAACUUGAACGCAGAACAUUGACGUAUACUUUGUGGAACCAGUCUGCAACAAAAACGGAUAAUAAAGGCUGGCAUCCUUUUACUUUCAGCUAUGCAAAUGCUAGCCCUCGAAGGAUGAAGGAAAUAAAGGGCAUCAACCAUGUAUAUUAUGAGACCGAGUACCGGAUAGAAUGGUGUCGUACCAAUUCAACAUUUGUUCCAUGUUUUUUGUUUGCUAGGAAAUUCUCUAAGGGAGCAGCCAUGCGCCUGUUGAGCGACGGUGUUAUUGAUCAACUUGAAGUUUCUGCAUUGCUAGGCAAUACCCAAUGAGUCAUGAGACUUGUGCUUCUGUCCAAACAACUCUUUAGCCGUAUACUGUUUUCUGAUUUACCUACUUAGACAUAUACUUUGAGCGUCAAAUGGAAUCGCUUCACGUUAUACACAGCAUACUCCACACAGAUUUUGAAGGCAGGUUUUUGCUUUGGUUGAAAUAGUUAAUCCCAUGUAACAAGCUGAUAGGACCAUUUUAUCUGGCUCAGUGGGAUGUUUUGUACAUCAAACCACAAUUGUAACAGUGAUCAUUCACAAUAGGAUGCUAUAAAUUAUAGCAUAUAAAGAAGCAUUUUUUUUUAUAAUA